ACUCAAAUGAAUUGACGGGGGCCCGCACAAGCGGUGGAGCAUGUGGUUUAAUUCGACGCAACGCGCAAAACCUUACCUACUCUUGACAUCCUCGGAACCUUUCAGAAAUGAGAGGGUGCCUUCGGGAACCGAGAGACAGGUGCUGCAUGGCUGUCGUCAGCUCGUGUCGUGAGAUGUUGGGUUAAGUCCCGUAACGAGCGCAACCCUCGCCCUUAGUUGCCAGCAGUUCGGCUGGGCACUCUAGGGGGACUGCCGGUGAUAAACCGGAGGAAGGCGGGGAUGACGUCAAGUCAUCAUGGCCCUUACGAGUAGGGCUACACACGUGCUACAAUGGAGAGUACAGAGAGUUGCCAACCCGCAAGGGGGAGCUAAUCUCGAAAAACUCUUCGUAGUCCAGAUUGGAGUCUGCAACUCGACUCCAUGAAGUUGGAAUCGCUAGUAAUCGCGAAUCAGCAUGUCGCGGUGAAUACGUUCCCGGGCCUUGUACACACCGCCCGU
rnacentral:rRNA from 1 species